rnacentral:tRNA from 1 species
GGGGGUAUAGAUCAAUGGUAGAGCAUGUGCUUAGCAUACUCAAGGACCUGGCUUCAAUCCCCAGCAUCCCAC